rnacentral:rRNA from 1 species
UUAAGCGACUAAGCGUACACGGUGGAUGCCCUGGCAGUCAGAGGCGAUGAAGGACGUGCUAAUCUGCGAUAAGCGUCGGUAAGGUGAUAUGAACCGUUAUAACCGGCGAUUUCCGAAUGGGGAAACCCAGUGUGWUUCGWCACACUAUCAUUAACUGAAUCCAUAGGUUAAUGAGGCGAACCGGGGGAACUGAAACAUCUAAGUACCCCGAGGAAAAGAAAUCAACCGAGAUUCCCCCAGUAGCGGCGAGCGAACGGGGAGCAGCCCAGAGCCUGAAUCAGUGUGUGUGUUAGUGGAAGCGUCUGGAAAGGCGCGCGAUACAGGGUGACAGCCCCGUACACAAAAAUGCACAURCUGUGAGCUCGAUGAGUAGGGCGGGACACGUGGUAUCCUGUCUGAAUAUGGGGGGACCAUCCUCCAAGGCUAAAUACUCCUGACUGACCGAUAGUGAACCAGUACCGUGAGGGAAAGGCGAAAAGAACCCCGGCGAGGGGAGUGAAAAAGAACCUGAAACCGUGUACGUACAAGCAGUGGGAGCACGCUUAGGCGUGUGACUGCGUACCUUUUGUAUAAUGGGUCAGCGACUUAUAUUCUGUAGCAAGGUUAACCGAAUAGGGGAGCCGAAGGGAAACCGAGUCUUAACUGGGCGUUAAGUUGCAGGGUAUAGACCCGAAACCCGGUGAUCUAGCCAUGGGCAGGUUGAAGGUUGGGUAACACUAACUGGAGGACCGAACCGACUAAUGUUGAAAAAUUAGCGGAUGACUUGUGGCUGGGGGUGAAAGGCCAAUCAAACCGGGAGAUAGCUGGUUCUCCCCGAAAGCUAUUUAGGUAGCGCCUCGUGAAUUCAUCUCCGGGGGUAGAGCACUGUUUCGGCAAGGGGGUCAUCCCGACUUACCAACCCGAUGCAAACUGCGAAUACCGGAGAAUGUUAUCACGGGAGACACACGGCGGGUGCUAACGUCCGUCGUGAAGAGGGAAACAACCCAGACCGCCAGCUAAGGUCCCAAAGUCAUGGUUAAGUGGGAAACGAUGUGGGAAGGCCCAGACAGCCAGGAUGUUGGCUUAGAAGCAGCCAUCAUUUAAAGAAAGCGUAAUAGCUCACUGGUCGAGUCGGCCUGCGCGGAAGAUGUAACGGGGCUAAACCAUGCACCGAAGCUGCGGCAGCGACGCUUAUGCGUUGUUGGGUAGGGGAGCGUUCUGUAAGCCUGYGAAGGUGURCUGUGAGGYAUGCUGGAGGUAUCAGAAGUGCGAAUGCUGACAUAAGUAACGAUAAAGCGGGUGAAAAGCCCGCUCGCCGGAAGACCAAGGGUUCCUGUCCAACGUUAAUCGGGGCAGGGUGAGUCGACCCCUAAGGCGAGGCCGAAAGGCGUAGUCGAUGGGAAACAGGUUAAUAUUCCUGUACUUGGUGUUACUGCGAAGGGGGGACGGAGAAGGCUAUGUUGGCCGGGCGACGGUUGUCCCGGUUUAAGCGUGUAGGCUGGUUUUCCAGGCAAAUCCGGAAAAUCAAGGCUGAGGCGUGAUGACGAGGCACUACGGUGCUGAAGCAACAAAUGCCCUGCUUCCAGGAAAAGCCUCUAAGCAUCAGGUAACAUCAAAUCGUACCCCAAACCGACACAGGUGGUCAGGUAGAGAAUACCAAGGCGCUUGAGAGAACUCGGGUGAAGGAACUAGGCAAAAUGGUGCCGUAACUUCGGGAGAAGGCACGCUGAUAUGUAGGUGAAGUCCCUCGCGGAUGGAGCUGAAAUCAGUCGAAGAUACCAGCUGGCUGCAACUGUUUAUUAAAAACACAGCACUGUGCAAACACGAAAGUGGACGUAUACGGUGUGACGCCUGCCCGGUGCCGGAAGGUUAAUUGAUGGGGUUAGCGCAAGCGAAGCUCUUGAUCGAAGCCCCGGUAAACGGCGGCCGUAACUAUAACGGUCCUAAGGUAGCGAAAUUCCUUGUCGGGUAAGUUCCGACCUGCACGAAUGGCGUAAUGAUGGCCAGGCUGUCUCCACCCGAGACUCAGUGAAAUUGAACUCGCUGUGAAGAUGCAGUGUACCCGCGGCAAGACGGAAAGACCCCGUGAACCUUUACUAUAGCUUGACACUGAACAUUGAGCCUUGAUGUGUAGGAUAGGUGGGAGGCUUUGAAGUGUGGACGCCAGUCUGCAUGGAGCCGACCUUGAAAUACCACCCUUUAAUGUUUGAUGUUCUAACGUUGACCCGUAAUCCGGGUUGCGGACAGUGUCUGGUGGGUAGUUUGACUGGGGCGGUCUCCUCCUAAAGAGUAACGGAGGAGCACGAAGGUUGGCUAAUCCUGGUCGGACAUCAGGAGGUUAGUGCAAUGGCAUAAGCCAGCUUGACUGCGAGCGUGACGGCGCGAGCAGGUGCGAAAGCAGGUCAUAGUGAUCCGGUGGUUCUGAAUGGAAGGGCCAUCGCUCAACGGAUAAAAGGUACUCCGGGGAUAACAGGCUGAUACCGCCCAAGAGUUCAUAUCGACGGCGGUGUUUGGCACCUCGAUGUCGGCUCAUCACAUCCUGGGGCUGAAGUAGGUCCCAAGGGUAUGGCUGUUCGCCAUUUAAAGUGGUACGCGAGCUGGGUUUAGAACGUCGUGAGACAGUUCGGUCCCUAUCUGCCGUGGGCGCUGGAGAAYUGAGGGGGGCUGCUCCUAGUACGAGAGGACCGGAGUGGACGCAUCACUGGUGUUCGGGUUGUCAUGCCAAUGGCACUGCCCGGUAGCUAAAUGCGGAAGAGAUAAGUGCUGAAAGCAUCUAAGCACGAAACUUGCCCCGAGAUGAGUUCUCCCUGACUCCUUGAGAGUCCUGAAGGAACGUUGAAGACGACGACGUUGAUAGGCCGGGUGUGUAAGCGCAGCGAUGCGUUGAGCUAACCGGUACUAAUGAACCGUGAGGCUUAACCUU